rnacentral:rRNA from 1 species
AGUUUGAUCAGUGGCUCAGGACGAACGCUGGCGGCGUGCCUAACACAUGCAAGUCGAACGAGGUCCAAGGAAGCUUGCUUCCUGAAGACCUAGUGGCGAACGGGUGAGUAACACGUGAGAAACCUGCCUCGGAGUGGGGAAUAACUCGGGGAAACUCGAGCUAAUACCGCAUACCUUCACAUGAUCGCAUGGUCGAGUGAAGAAAGAAUUUCGCUCUGAGAGGGUCUCGCGGCCUAUCAGCUUGUUGUGGGGUAACGGCCUACCAAGGCAACGACGGUAGCUGGUCUGAGAGAACGAUCAGCCACACUGGGACUGAGACACGGCCCAGACUCCUACGGGAGGCAGCAGUGGGGAAUCUUGCGCAAUGGGCGAAAGCCUGACGCAGCAACGCCGCGUGCGGGAUGACGGCCUUCGUGGUUGUAAACCGCUUUCAGCAGGGACGAAAAUGACGGUACCUGCAGAAGAAGCCCGGCUAACUACGUG